UUUGCCAUAUCAAUAAAGCGGAGGAAAAGAAACCAACAGGGAUUGCCUCAGUAGCGGCGAGUGAAGCGGCAAAAGCUCCAUUUUGAAAGCUCUUCGGAGCGUUGUAGAUUGGUGGGAAGCUAACGGCUGGUGGGAGACCAAGUCCUCUGGAACGAGGCGCCAUAGAGGGUGAGAGCCCCGUGUUCUCCUUACCGAC
rnacentral:rRNA from 1 species